ACUCCUACGGGAGGCAGCAGUGGGGAAUAUUGCACAAUGGGGGAAACCCUGAUGCAGCCAUGCCGCGUGUGUGAAGAAGGCCUUCGGGUUGUAAAGCACUUUCAGUCGUGAGGAAGGUAGUGUAGUUAAUAGCUGCAUUAUUUGACGUUAGCGACAGAAGAAGCACCGGCUAACUCCGUGCCAGCAGCCGCGGUAAUACGGAGGGUGCGAGCGUUAAUCGGAAUUACUGGGCGUAAAGCGCAUGCAGGUGGUUUGUUAAGUCAGAUGUGAAAGCCCGGGGCUCAACCUCGGAAUAGCAUUUGAAACUGGCAGACUAGAGUACUGUAGAGGGGGGUAGAAUUUCAGGUGUAGCGGUGAAAUGCGUAGAGAUCUGAAGGAAUACCAGUGGCGAAGGCGGCCCCUGGACAAGACUGACGCUCAGAUGCGAAAGCGU
rnacentral:rRNA from 1 species